GUGGCUAUGGUGUAAUGGCAACACAGCAGGUUGUGGUCCUGUUAUCGUGGGUUCGAUCCCCACUAGCCACCCCA
rnacentral:tRNA from 1 species